AUCCAGAUGACGAAUCCCAAAUAGGAGGAAACGUGCGUUCUUGAU
rnacentral:hammerhead_ribozyme from 1 species